ensembl:lncRNA
UGCAGGGAGAGAAAGUGACUGCUGUGCUGGGGAAAGGAGGAGGGAAGCUGUGGCCCUCAGCCAGCUGUCCUUUAAAAAGUGGGUCUGAUUUUGAAGCCUUCUGGGACAAGCCCCUCCAGUGCUUGACAAACAGCUUUUUAUGCUAUUAUUUAACAUUUUCUAAUGCUUUUCCAACUUUGUUUUUCAUACAAGUUAAUCACUAUAGGCACCAACUAAUUUUUCUCAUGGCUGAUCCUUCAAAAUGUACGUGGGGAAAACUGGAAAGUGCAACAGACUGUAGAAAUCUACUUCUCUGUGUCCUGCAGUGACCAUUGCAAGGGAAGACAAAGAUUCACCACUGCUUAUUCACUUGGCUUGAAUAACACACUGCUGCCCAGAAGCUGUUCUUUUUUCCCAAAGAGAAAGGAUAGAAGUGAGUGCUUUUGAAAGGGAUGGGACUUGACAGUGUGUUAAUAUGAUGACCCUCAAGUAGCAGGAUACAGUGACCAGGUAUGGUGCGUAUCAGCUCUGAUGCUCGCAGCUCCACGAGGCAGGCUCAGGCCCCCAGAAG